GGGGGGCGGGGGGGGGGGGCCUGGGACAUGCGAGGCGAGCGAACGGACGAGAAGCUUGCUUCUCUGAUGUUAGCGGCGGACGGGUGAGUAACACGUGGAUAACCUACCUAUAAGACUGGGAUAACUUCGGGAAACCGUAGCUAAUACCGGAUAAUAUUUUGAACCGCAUGGUUCAAAAGUGAAAGACGGUCUUGCUGUCACUUAUAGAUUGAUCCGCGCUGCAUUAGCUAGUUGGUAAGGUAACGGCUUACCAAGGCAACGAUGCAUAGCCGACCUGAGAGGGUGAGCGGCCACACUGGAACUGAGACACGGUCCAGACUCGUACGGGAGGCAGCAGUAGGGAAUCUUCCGCAAUGGGCGAAAGCCUGACGGAGCAACGCCGCGUGAGUGAUGAAGGUCUUCGGAUCGUAAAACUCUGUUAUUAGGGAAGAACAUAUGUGUAAGUAACUGUGCACAUCUUGACGGUACCUAAUCAGAAAGCCACGGCUAACUACGUG
rnacentral:rRNA from 1 species